CCGGGGUCUCCACAUGACGGGUCGAUCGAGACCCUCUUCCCUUGCCGCCGCCUCCUCUCCUCUCCCUCGAUUCUCCUUGCGCCGCCACCCUCGUUCUGCAUCCGCGCCUGCUCUGAGCCCCUUCUCUUCCCCAUGCCGCCAGCCUCCUCCUCUGUACCCCUCCUCUUACCAUGCCGCCGACCUCCUCCUCUCCGCCUCUCCUUGUCGGUCGUCGCUCCAAUUCAUGGACCUCCUUGCCGCGGUUGUAGUGGUCGAACAAGACGAAGAGGAGCUGCAGCAUCGGGUCGGUGCAGCGGCCGGCUGCAGGGGCCUCGGUGGAAGAGACCAUCGAUGGCCGUGGACGGCACGGAUGACGACCAGCUGGUCUCAAUAUCCACGGAGGACGUCGUCCGGGCCUCCCGCCUUGUCAACAACGAGAUCCGCGUCCUCGAGGCAAGCCGCACCCUCCCAAACCUAGACCCCCUUGCUUCCGCGGAGCCAAGCAGGAAAUCUCAUGAGACUUGUUCCCUUGUUUUGUUUGUAGUUUUGGUUUAGGUCUGAUUGAUUGGCAUUUCUAUAUCACCCCUCGCUGACGAUGGCACAUAGGACGAGCUGCAGCGAAGGAACCUGGAGAGUGGAGAACCUCAAGGACUUGCAUCAUGAAGAUAGCAGUUAAAAGGACCUAACGGUGCUGAAAACAUACCUACCGAUGGAGAGAAGGGCACAAGAGGGACCGCUGAGCAUAAUGAUUCCAUAACUAGGCUAAAACAAGCAUCAUCAACUAAUGUUUCAGCGGUUGCCGCAAAGGCUAAGUCGCUGAUCAGGAGGAAGAUCAAUUUCUAUGCCUCCUUGCAUGUGCUACAAUGAUUGUUCUCACAUUUAGAAAUUGGAUUUAGUCUUUGGUUCAUGUUGAGGAGUUUGGAUUAUUGUGAGGACAACUUUUUGGAGUUUAGUUUACCCUGAGUAAUUGUUGUAGGAGUUGGGAGUGCUCUAUAUGCUCUGUGAUGACUACUUGCACUACAGGAGCCUCCCAACGAAGGUCAUCUUUCUCACCUUUCUACCCCUCCAGCCCCUCCCUCUAAAUCCCAUUGUAACUUUCAUGUGAAAGAGACUAGAUCAUGCAUAAGAAAGGGCAGAUUAGCAUUUCAUUGGUGCGUGCGCAUCGGCAGUGAGCUUUUGUGCUACUUUUAUUUCAGAGUGAUGACCAGUACUGCUAAUGUUGGCAGAUACUCUAUUUUAUUUUGUGUUGCACUUAGCUCAAAUUAUUAUAUUUUCUUUAGAUGUCGGGUGAAAAGAGGUACCAAUAGAAUAUAUACCAGAUACUGAUUAUCUGCGAAAAAUUCUUAGCAUGUGGCCAUCUAAACGUAUUUGUUUUUCUAAGCCGCACAAACCAGGUUCAAAGAGUUGUAAGAAAGGAGAACUACCUGAAAUCAUGUACCAACUACUAACGCCUACCAACAAUCAGGUCGGUUCAGAACCAGUCGCAGAAAAGAACCAACGGAAUUAUGCUCAUACAGCGAAUGGGAAGGGCAACUUUUAACCAAGAUGGCUUCUAGAUCAAUGUAAAAUAAUAGAUAUAGCUAACACUUGCAGCACCAUCUCCUUUCCGGUGAGAUCGGGGAAGUGGUUGAGGCCGAGGGGGUACGUGUAGACCCUGGUUUCGACCGCGGUGUUGUGUCGAUCGACGAGGCGAAAAUGGAAUUUUCUCAAAAGAAAAAGGGGAUAGAUAGAUUUAGUGUGCAAGUAUAACUAGGAUGGAUAGAUAGAUAGAUAGAUAGAUAACAUGUACUACCUCUGAUUGGCUUUUAUUGAAUGGAUUCUGACUGUUGUCUUGCACUAAACUGAACAAGUGCCCAUGCAGUUUCACAAUCUGAACUUUCAUUUCAUUAAACAAGAAAAGCGAGGUUGGUCAUCGAUGAUGCAUUUAUGGAUCCAUUUGAUGAUGAAUCCUAUCCCAUCCCAUCUUGAAUACCCCUCUCUGCAUUUCAAAGGUACUAGCUAGCAUUACCCUGUUUGUGUUUGUCGAUCAAGUUUUCAGAUCAAUAGCUAUUAUUUUUGUUCUGAAUGUUUUAUAUAUGAUAACUUUUGUACAUACUGGUGUCCAUAUAAGUCAGCUAUGUAGUCUUGAUAUUUCAUAUGUACCUUCAAUUUUUUUGCCUCAAGUAAUGAGAUUAAAAUAAGUUUUAUGUUGUGCAGCAAAUAUCUUGAGAGUGACCACUCCAAAACUUUAUGUUGGUAGGUACAUAUUUGAUAGCAUACUGUAGUCAAGGUAUAGUAUGUACUGUCAUUUUUCUUUUUGCGGUUAAAAUAUAUAACAGUUCAGUUGUCCAAGAAAAUUUUAAGAGGUUACUUCAGUAAUUUGGGUCGUUAGUUCGAGAAAACAUUUUAGGCUUUCCCUUUUGCUGCUGUUCAUGAGGAUGUCCCUUUUUCUGUAUAUUCUUGUGUUAAUUGAGAAAAGGUUAACCACAUUAUUUGGAGCUUUAUCUCAGCUCUUAUCUGUGCAAAUUGAUUUGUUGAACUUUUGGUGCAAGGAGAUCAACUACCUCUUGCUUGCAUUGCCUGUUAGAACGUUUUGGUGAAGUACUUUGGAACUAAAACCACGACGAGUAAUUUGGAACGGAGGGAGUAUAUGGCAAUGUCAGCUGUAAGAUUAGUUCUUAAUUGCUUAUGGCUUGUUACCGAGUACUUCUACUUAAUAUUUCUUAUUAUUUGUUCUCAAAUAUACCUAAGGGCACCAUCAUGUUUAUUUUUGUUAAUAAUAACUGACUUGACAUUAGAGCUUUGUCGUUUCGGUUUUGAUUUUUCCAAAUGGAUUUGCUUAUCAAAUGGUUGUCUCUCGGGUAAUGCGUGCACUUAAUUCAAGGAAAAGAUAUGAACGGGUAUGCAUUUGCAGGAAGGGGAGUACGUCCGCUGCUGUAUGAGAAAAAGUGCACGCAACUGAGGACCCAGGAUGCUAACGGUGCAGAGCCGUUCACCAUCGAGAGGACCAGGGCCACCAUCAGGAAUCUCCGGACCAAGCUCAACAUCACCAUCGCCUUUGUCAAAGACGUGUCCCGGAGGGUAGUUGCUGUCUGCGACGACUCAUCCAAAUGCUGGCAAGGAUGUGGCGAGUCAUUGGCGAUGUGCACCAGGUGACGAAGCGCAUAGCGGAUGAGGUGAGCGAGCUUCUCCCACAGUCGCCACACGGUCGGAGGCAUCAGAGGCACACCGCCGCCGCUGGGGCCUACACAUGCGCAAUUUCUAUUGUUGUAUCUUAUUAGUUGCCAUGCAGCAAGAUGCUUCUGUCGAUGGUAUUAUAUUGUUGUGUGUUGUCUGUGAUGGAAUAUUAUUUUCUUUCUCACGUGAUGUAUAAAUAUAAUAAGUUUAUCAAGAAUUUCAUAUCCAGAUCCAAAAA